rnacentral:rRNA from 1 species
GAGCUCGCGUCCGAUUAGCCAGUUGGCGGGGUAACGGCCCACCAAAGCAACGAUCGGUAGCCGGCCUGAGAGGGCGAUCGGCCACACUGGAACUGAGAGACGGUCCAGACUCCUACGGGAGGCAGCAGUGGGGAAUAUUGGGCAAUGGGCGAAAGCCUGACCCAGCAACGCCGCGUGAGGGAAGAAGGUUUUCGGAUUGUAAACCUCUGUCCUUGGUGACGUGACGGUAGCCAAGGAGGAAGCCCCGGCUAACUCCGUGCCAGCAGCCGCGGUAAUACGGAGGGGGCAAGCGUUGUCCGGAUUUACUGGGCGUAAAGAGCGCGUAGGCGGCUUGGUAAGUCGGCUGUGAAAGCCCAGGGCUCAACCCUGGAAGUGCAUUUGAAACUGCCUAGCUUGAGUAUGGGAGAGGAGAGUGGAAUUCCCAGUGUAGAGGUGAAAUUCGUAGAU